CCCAUUGGUGCGACUUCUCGGCUUCACGUGACCGCCCCCAAACGGGGCGGAGGAGGCGGGGCCGUCACGUUCACGGUCUUGAGCAGCCUUCGAGGCCAAGGUUGGUUGAGAAACAUAAUGUGCAGAAUGGGAGGUAAUAGACCUGCUCUACUUUGCCUCAGACGAACGUAUCUGGAAUAUUAACAACCAGGAAAACUUGGAAACAACUUGGAAAUUACCGAAGGGAUCUGAAGAAAGGAGAAAAUAU